GACGAACGCUGGCGGCGUGCUUAACACAUGCAAGUCGAACGAAGAGCGACGGAAGCUUGCUUCUAUCAAUCUUAGUGGCGAACGGGUGAGUAACGCGUAAUCAACCUGCCCUUCAGAGGGGGACAACAGUUGGAAACGACUGCUAAUACCGCAUACGAUCUAACCUCGGCAUCGAGGAUAGAUGAAAGGUGGCCUCUACAUGUAAGCUAUCACUGUAGGAGGGGAUUGCGUCUGAUUAGCUAGGUGGAGGGGUAACGGCCCACCAAGGCGAUGAUCAGUAGCCGGUCGGAGAGGAUGAACGGCCACAUUGGGACUGAGACACGGCCCAGACUCCUACGGGAGGCAGCAGUGGGGAAUCUUCCGCAAUGGACGAAAGUCUGACGGAGCAACGCCGCGUGAGUGAUGACGGCCUUCGGGUUGUAAAGCUCUGUUAAUCGGGACGAAAGGCCUUCUUGCGAAUAGUGAGAAGGAUUGACGGUACCGGAAUAGAAAGCCACGGCUAACUACGUG
rnacentral:rRNA from 1 species